UGUGAGGUAUCAAUGGCUGAUUUUCAGGAUGAUGAGGAUCAUGCAUACAGAAAGAUCAGAUUGAGAGCUGAGGAUGUUCAAGGGAGGAAUGUCCUGACAAUUUCUGGGCAUCGGACAAUUCGGCAGUUUGAUCAGCGGGGCGAUAUGGCCAUUCAAGCUUAGGCUGAGCAGCAACAACAUUAUUUUUCUAUCUUCAUGUUCGCCACCUUUCUUGAUCAAAAGUGAUAUGUAGAACUGUGGGUGCCAGUGUGAAUGAAAAGUCUCACAAAAAUAGAGAUGUAGAACUUGGUAGCUGUUUAUUUUAGUGAUAGUAGAGUCUUCAAAAUUAUUAUAAUGGUGAUGUUUAUCUAUUAUAUAAUUAGUAGAUCAGCUUGUACUUGAUAUGAUUAGUAUAAUGUACCACUUAGUGUAAAAAUAUAUAUGAGUUUGGUUGAA